CUGGAAACACCGGUUCCCGUACGAUCACCGAAGUUAAGCAACCUCAAAACUGGUCAGUACGUAGAUGGGUGACCGCUUGGGAAUUUCAAGUGCUGUAAG